GGUUGGGAUUAACGUUUAACGUCUUCAGCCAAAUAAUGUGUUCUGGCCCUACGUUCCUUAUUGGCUGGACCAAAGGACGAGCGGUUUCACAGAGAAAAGUGUUACAUGUCUCCAGAUGGGGCAGAAGGAAUUCAACAAGGCCCUUCAACAUGAAAGUCGAGCUUGACAUCUGUCAAAGGUACUCCUUUACAAAUAGAUACACCGACCACAGCCUUGACACAAACUCAACUGUGGGAUAGAAAAGGCCACCACAGUCUGUAAAAAACAAUAGAGGGUUUUUUCUUUCGCACGGCCACCUACCUCAUCUGAUUGCCAACUUGAUAAAUCUUCCCAGUCAUUGCGAGAGUUAUAUCGUCUUGUGAUUGAGGGACGGAUUUGCCUUUCCCUUGGACGACCUUGCUUUGCAGUUACUUCACUCGGCGGAAUGGUUGUAGCUUCCAUUUCACUUGGCGGUAUGGUUUUAGCUUCCAUUUCACUCGGCGGUAUGGUUGUAGCUUCCAUUUCACUCGGCGAAAUGGUUGAUAACAAAACCAUCGAAUUGUAAAUUGGCUGAUCCUGAUUGUCCAUGCCUGAAUUGUCUAAGCAAUCGACAUUCUUUAAUUCAUCUUCUGAAAAGUUUAUUCUUCGGCAUACUACUGGACGUGCUCUUGGCGAAAGAGCUGCUUCAUGCGGUGCCGAUGGUAGAAGCCGACGGAUUGGUAACAGGAGGAUUCUGUCUUUGGCCGCAUUCAUAUUUGGAGUGAACGUUGCUGCUUGCUGAAUAUGUGGAAGAUGACGGCGUUUGUUUGAGUUAUUCAGCUCGGGAUCUUCAUCUGCAAGAAAGAAAAGAUGAUGCGGUAAUAUAAAUAUUCAUAGUGAGUUAUAAAUAUAAUUUAUUUUCAGAAAUGGGACCAAAAUGGUUGUUAUGAACGGGAAUGUUGCAAUGAAAAAUCAGGAAGAGUAAACGAAGAAAGAGAAAAUUUCAAUUUACUGGCCAAGGGAAUGCGAUUCUCGUACAGAAUUAAAAGACCUAGGAAAGUCGUUUGUCGCCAGAUUGUAGCCUUACAGAAGCUUUGCUGGACACAGACAUUAGAAUUCGUCCAAUUUUUACCCAUGUCAAUUGUGAUUGAUAGAUGAAGAAGUCACGGAUUUUAUUCGAUCUACUUUCCCGUACAGAGAUCUGUUCCGAAGGAGAUAAAAAACAUCUCAUCAAUCGUUGAACGUCCCGGUGAUCGUAUAUAGCUUUACAGUGUUCAGAAUGUCUGUUACGUUUAUUAACAUUUUAUUUUUUAUUUUUAAAUGUAACAAUUUUUAAUGAGAACAAUACAUUUUCUGCUUUAAACAUA